ACCGCUUGGGAGGCGGUUCCUUGCAUCCGACUUGCAGGGGGGAAAAUCCUCAAACAUUCCAGCUAUCGUGGGAUAGAACCUUCUCUACCUCAAUUUAAACUCAAACUUAUAUAUAGUGAAACUGUGUUUACACGGCGCUUUAGAAAUAAGUGUAAUUUGGACUGGCUUUCUGACAAACUACUCGAAAAACAUGAACUGGAACUGUGCAGUCUUGGCCCCUUGACUGUUUGCACCCAGAGACUCAAGGCAGCAUGUCUCCUGUGUCUUCACCUAAAUAUUCAUCAGGCUCAUCACUCCUCACUCAGUACGGGCCUUUUGACCAAACCCUGAGCUACAACCGCACUCAGGUCCUCUCCUCCAGCAGGUAUGGCGCUCCCACGUCUCGAUACCUCGGGGCCAGCCCCUGUCAGGCCCGAGCACAUCACUACCCUCGGGAGAUGGAGAAGGGCCGGCCUGACCCUCAGCUGGACUUCAGGGUUCGCCACUGCGAUGUCUCCAGCAGGGCCCAGGUCAGAGGUCAGGGCCUCCAGCCAAACGUGGUGAGGGGACGCUCCACGUCCCGGCCUGUGCACCCACCGGCAUCGCCCCUGUCUUUGCGCCGCCGGUCAGUUAGCUACUCAGAUCUCGCCCAGGAGCUGGUGCUGCUGGACAUCAACGACACCCCAUCACCGCCUCCCAGGCAGCACAGAGUAGGACGAGACGGGGCAGAGAGGAACAGCAGAAUUCUCCUCAGGAACUCAGAGAACUCCAAGAAUGCUCAGGGUCUGGUUGGCUUGAGGAAUCUUGGCAACACGUGCUUCAUGAACUCCAUCCUGCAGUGUCUGAGCAACACCCACGACCUGCGAGACUACUGCCUCCGAAACUGCCACCUCACAGACCUCAACAAAAGCUGCCGGGCCAAGGUUGCUCUCAUGGACGAGUUCGCCAAACUGACUCAGACCCUCUGGACGUCGGCCGGCAAUGAGGCGAUUAGCCCGUCCGACUUCAAAACGCAGAUCCAGAAGUACGCUCCUCGCUUCGUAGGAUACAAUCAGCAGGAUGCUCAGGAGUUUUUGCGCUUUCUGCUCGAUGGCCUUCACAACGAGGUGAACCGAGUAGUUGGCCGGCCGCGGAUCCCGGUGGAGGACUUUGACCACCUCUCAGAUGAGGAGAAAGGGGAACGCAUGUGGAACAAGUAUCUGGAGAGGGAGGACAGCAAAGUAGUUGAUCUGUUUGUUGGACAGCUGAAGAGCUCAUUGACUUGCAAUGAGUGUGGCUUCUGCUCCACAGUGUUCGAUCCAUUCUGGGAUCUAUCACUCCCUAUCCCCAAGAAGAGCUCUGGUGAGGUGACUUUGACGGACUGCAUCAAACUUUUCACCAAAGAGGAUGUGCUUGAUGGAGAUGAGAAACCGAUCUGCCAGAGAUGCAAAUCCAGAAGAAAAUGCACAAAGAAAUUCACCAUCCAGAAAUUCCCCAAAAUCCUUGUGCUUCACUUGAAACGCUUCUCUGAGCCUGGACGUGUGAAGACUAGCAAGCUUUCCACAUUUGUCAACUUCCCUCUCAAAGAGCUGGACCUCAGGGAUUUUGCAUCCGAGAACAGCGCAACAGCUAUCUACAAUCUGUAUGCAGUAUCUAAUCACAUAGGCACAACCCUGGGUGGGCAUUACACAGCAUACUGCCGUAACCCAGCCCUUGGGGAAUGGUACUCAUAUAAUGACUCAAGGGUGAACCCCAUGUCUUCCAGUCAGGUGCGCAGCAGUGACGCCUACGUGCUCUUCUACGAACUCGCAACCUCAUCGCGCAUGUGAUCAGGCCCACUAGGCUGGGCCCUGCAGCUCGGAACUGAAUGACUGACCCCCUCCAGGGCGACCAGCUAGCAUUGGAGCCAUCAUCUCCACCUAGCACAGCCUAGGCCCAAGCUAUAGACUGAAACUGUGGACUCCAGCUACAGUUUGGCAUUAUGGUGGAACACGGGACUCAGAGAACUUCACAAGAGAGCUCAUGCUCUAGGACUCAAAAACACAGCCAAGCAACAGUGUCUUAGGGGCAUAAAGACUGUGCUGUGGCUGGGGACUUCACUGAAGCUAAUGCCCAUAGGUGGAACUACUUGACAGGGCCACGUCUCUCCCCUCUCUUACACUCCUAGUGACUCUGGUACAGAGGGUGGCGGGGACAAACCCAUUUGUUUCACCUGGGACAUGAGGGCAACUGGUCUUGGCCACAGCUCUACGAGCUGAACGAGCAGGUCAACAAAUGUGUGUGUGUGUGUGUGUGUGUGUGUGUGUGUUUGUGUGUGUGUGUGUGUGUGUGUGUGUGUGUGCGUGUGUGUGUGUGUGUGUGCUUGUGUGUGUGUGCGUGCGUGUGUGUGUGCGCGCGAAUGUCUGCACGCGAAUGUGUGCACUGCCCCGCUGUGACAGUUUACAAGUUCUCUAUAAACGUCCUUCCCCCAAAACAAAGUGGGGGUGGAAAACAUUGCUCGGCACCUGGUUUAGGUGCUUCUGAUAUCAGUAUAGUCAGCCUCCAUUACAGAGGCCUCUCUUAAAAUUGCUGUGCAGCCUCCUGACCACAGGGGGGCGACGUGGUGUGUAGACCUAUCUGUUUACAUCAUGCACAGGAGGCAUGCUCCAGGGUUGGUGGCGUGGCGUGGUUGAAGGGUGGGGUAUGGUGUGGUUCUAGGCGGAGGUAUUCAAGUUGGUGUCUCCAGGCUACUCAGUGACGAGAGUGGUAGGUGUGUGUGAAUCUGGCCCUCCAACACUGGGGCCUACUGCUCGAGCCGCGUGAAAUGCCCUGGGGCAUUACUAUGGAAAUCAUUUUGAGCAAUAACACUGGCUUUUUUUUAGGGCAGAAGGGGGUAGAUUAGCGUUCCCAGCAUGCAAGAAGGACUGAACAGCUGCAUGCUGCUCCGCAGAAACACAAACGCACUUAUAUUUAUAGGAACAGAUUAUAUAUGACAAAAUAUGAAGACUCUGUUGGCAGGCAGGAACCCUUUGUCACUCGUAGCUUUUUAGCCUCUGUGGACAGAAGUGUUUAGUUUAUUUUGCCACAGACUGUCCAGACCUGAAAGCUCCUUUGCCAUGUCUGUCAUGAGUAAAAAACCAGCGCUGACAUAUCACUGCGGCCCAAUCACGGUCCUCAGAUUGGUCCAGUUUGAACCAACCAAGGCAGAUUUCUUUCUUUCGGAGUCUCUCAUCAUGUGAAAAUGGCACUUGGUUGAGGUGCAGGUCUGUGUGCAGGAUGUGGCUUUUCAGUUUGUAGCUGGUGGUUGAAGUAAGGUGCUGACCAUUUUCAUAGUCUUUCAUCAGAGUUUGGUGAGCCUUGGGUGGUGGACCCAGACUGAAGCCAGGUUUAGCGUUAGCUUUGAACAUUAGCAUGGAACUCAGUGCGCACAUCUCAGAGAUCAUUUCACAGGGCUCUCGACACAUAGAAUAAAAUAUAUUUCAUAUGUUUUUAGCAAAUGCGUAUUAUAGUUUUUACUACACCUUUUAUGAAACUUUUGAGUAGAUUAAUUCCAUGAAUGCUAUCACAAGCUCUUGAAUUUUAAGGUAUUGAAUUGCUCUUAGAAAUACAUAUAAGUCUGUUCACUGAUAAUAUUUUAAGAUCUUAUAAAUAUGAAGAAAAACUGGACCUAAAAAAGCUGCCUUCAGCUGUGUGUGUGUGUGUGUGUGUGUGUGUAUUUGAGUGAGUGUGUUUGAAUUCAUGUGCACAUGAGUGUGUGUGUGUGUAUAUGUGGGUGGGUGUGUAGGUGGAUGAGUUUGUCUGAGGCCUGAGAGGGCAAGAUGUCAUAGACGUCACUUUAAGCUUUCCUCUUCAUGUGGGGAAAAUAUCCCCCCACGAUUUCCUGACCUGUGAACUAUGCACAGACCUCCUGUCGGCAAUGCCGUCAUGACACCGAAACAUCCCCCAGUCCUCCCAUCGCCCAACACUAGUCCUCUGAGCGAUCCCCCAGUCUCUCCCGUCGCCCAACACUAGUCCUCUGAGCGAUCCCCCAGUCCUCCCGUCGCCCAACACUAGUCCUCUGAGCGAUCCCCCAGUCCUCCCGUCGCCCAACACUAGUCCUCCCGUCGCUGUCCGAGUGGUCAGCAGCGCCAGUCUCUCUGCUGGACGUCUGGUCCAGUUGGUCCAGCGUCGGGUGCGUUGGAAGCCCCGUGGGCCUCCCUUUAGAUUAGUCUGUUUGUGUCCUUUGACCGAGCGGGUAGUUAGUCUUUGUUUGGCGGCCCCAUGAAUCUACUGUAUGCCCCCCCACCCCCUCGUCUGUGUCGGUGUACCCCGUCCCGCUGGCUUCUGUCCAGAGCGCUGCAUUGUGGUACGGCUGAGCUGGGCUGAAUGGGUGCCCUCUGAAUGAGUUUACUCUGUCCCCCCUUUGUUUGGCGCGACAGCAGCGAACCCUCUGGAAACAUUUCCCUCUCGCCCCCGUGAGCGCUCUCAUGCCACCCGCUUCCUCCGUCUCUUGUCUGCGGGUUUUAGACAGCGCCGGUUGGCAGCAGGGGUGGGGGGUUGUGAGCGAGAUGGCAUUGCCAAGAGACCACGUCUCCCUGAUUUCGGAGGGUGUGUGUGGGGUGGGGUAGGAUGGGGUGGGGGGUAGAAACGGCAUAAUUUGGGUAGACUUGGGGUGUUGGAACGCCUGUCCAUUUUUGACGGGACAUGUAGUCAGUCAGAGGGUGUUUUUUCUUUCCAAGGGAAAUUGUGAUCAGUGGACAACGACAGGCUGGCAUAUUGGCUUCCUCACACGUGCUGAUACCGUAGGCUUGCGUCUGCUUACCCUCCGAUUCUUUAACACUGGUGGGUCACAUGUCCAUCGUAGUUGGCAUUACUUUCUAGGGGUCAAAGUUCAGCAUGUAAUUUGGAGACUUUGCACCCAGACAGAGUUGCUUCUGAGGAGUGAGAUGUCAUAGCAUGCAAACACAUAUCCAGAUAAUCAUUUUUAUUGUCGUUAGUUAUUAAUUUUUUUUAACAGUAAUAUAUAAAGUCUUAUGUUUAGUCUCACUAGAGGCAUCCUCUCUUUGCUCAGGGUAUGGUGAAGAAGAUGUUAACACUUGUUUGUUUCUCCUAGAGAUUUAUUUUUUGAAAAAAGUUGAAACUGUGAGUAUAAGAUGAAGAAGAAAAAAAGAAACCUGAAACUUAAAAUACCUGGAAUGACACUAUUGUAUAUUUUGUUUUUCUCUUCUGUUUUCUCUUAUUUGGGAUGAAAGCAUUCUGACAUGGCUUGUGAUAUUGCAGCCUUAAAGGGUUGGUAGACCAAAGAUUGUCAGGCACUUUAAUCAAUAAUCAUCAAAAAAAGUAAACAAAAGUGAACAGAAUUUCACAAACGAGGACGAUGGUGAAAAAUGUCCCUCUCGUUUUAAUUUGUCUCACUCCCUACACAAUCUCAUCACCGCCGCAUUCGCCCGUGGCAAAGACGAACUCCCAACGUCUUGCAUCUUAUCAGAAAGAAAUGGAGAAGCGGUGGUAGAUGGGGCUAGUGUACUUGGGGACUUGUUGCCCCUCUGCAGUUUGGUUGCUAGACUUUUUACACAUAUCUAGAUCAGGCUAGAUCCUAUCAUUCCUGGGGGGUCGCUUUGGGGCUGCAAGUGAUUCUGAGCCGUUAUUGGUAAUUUAAUGACUGAAGGUGAACGAAAGACGAAUGAAAUAGGAAAAAGCUAAAAUGGUCAAACCGAGAUAAUUGAGACGACAACUUGUACAAAGUUCGCACACACAAACGUGUUCUGUGUUGACCGGGUUGGUGCUGUUAACUCUGGACAGUGACAACCAAAAUCAGAAUCCAGUGCCUUGUGUUAAAAAUCUGUUCGUAUUACCCACACAAGCGCAGCACAAACCAGGCCGUUUUAACAGGCAGUGUUUACAAGGUUGAAGCUGCAUUUCUAUAUUUGCUUGAGAUGAGAUCAGAUGGCAGUUUACUGUGUACCUUUGCGAAACGAAGACAAGGAUCAGACCUGCACUUGUUUACAUCGUAAAUUUUGCUAACGAAGCAUUGGUGUUGAGCACACUCACAGAUCUUAAUGAAUUGAUGAGGUUACUAUGUUACAGUUAGUUAUUCACACAAAAAUAAACAUACCUUGGUCAUUAAGAAUUAUUCAGAACUUUAAUAGUGUUCUGAGUUCUUUGAAGACUGUUAGGUGCUCAACCACAAUAUGUAUCAGAAAAUCUCCACAUGAAGACAUUUAUAGUUGUAAUGCUGAGAUUGGCGUGCACAGUAAAUUACCCUGAAAAGAUAAGACUUGAAUUAAAAGCUUCAUCCUAGCAGUCAUGAAUCAUCCUUACCCAUCACAGUAGCAGCAGAAAACUUCACUGACGUUAUCACCUGUCACCAACAUCCAUACAACUUAAGCAUCUGGUGAAUCAUUUUGGCUUUGAAACAUCAACGUUCAGAAUUUGUUUGCUGUGUUUGAUAUUUGAUUGAUGCUGUUCAAAUGAAGGCAGAGGCUGUGUCCCAAUUUUGCAAAUUGCAUUUCAUACCCUCCUACCCCCCCCAAUUCUUGGGUAGUUUCCAAAAAGCAAAAAGUCCCAUUGUUUAUUUGUGUGAUCUGUACAUUAAAGAAACCUGCUCUCCCAUUCCAGUAUCAGUUUCAGAAGAAUUUUUGUCUGAACUUUGCAAUGCCACAAUAUAUUAGGAAACAACUUGAGGUGGCUAAAUGGAAAUGCCAACAAAUGCCAUCUUUAAAGAUGCUGGGUAUUAGGGCAUCACAAAAGUCCUUGUCCUUAUGGGAUGAAUUGAUAUUAGUUAAUGUAUCUCAGCAGAUACAUUGAUGUAGCCGAGAGGUAAUAGUUACAAGUGGGAGGAAUGGUUGAUGGAGAACCUUUCUGAAGUUGGGGCACAGCCUUCAGUCUAUGUUAAGUUUUAUGACUCUGGCCCUUUCUGGUGUCACUUUUCUUAGCUGUGGUUUCUUUCGCACAGCUCAAUCACAACCUUUAACACUCCCUGCCUCCUUAUUUUUGAUAAACGUCUGAUGAUUUUUUCAUAUAUUUAUAUAUCAAAGUUUUGAUAUAUACAUAAAGGAGGGGUUUCUCUUUUGUUUGUAGUGUGACCUUUACUUUCUCUGAAAGAGACCUGGCUAUUGACUGAAACUAACCUAAACGUUGAUUGAGAGGAAUUUAUUUUGUUGCAACUUGUGAAUCCAGACACUGUUAAGAGAAAAAUAAAUCUGAUUGGGUGAAACCCUG